rnacentral:lncRNA from 1 species
GGGAUAAGUGAUGCAUAAGAGCAGGCUGAAUGUAUCACACCACAGACCCCAUGAAUUACUCUACUUCCAGCCUUCCCCUGAGAAAGGAAUAGGCAAAGCAAAUUGCUUUGAUGGGGAUCUGCCCCAAACUGCAUUUUCUCUUUACAAAAGAUAAGGACUUAACUGUUUGCAUGCACUGCAAAAUUAUAUCUGACACUGGGUAUCUUGAAUGCUGAUGUCUUUAUAGUUUUGCUGUACUGAAAAAGCUUGGAUUGGAGGACACAUUAGACCAAAACACCACAGCAGGUAGAAAAGUAAGACUGGCUUGGUACUUUGUGCCUUUUCAUUAGUCUAGAUUUUGCCUACUAUAGGUACAGAUUCGAGUCUUGGACUGUACAGGUAUACUCAACCACGAGCAGUUGCAGGAUUAAUAGAGUAACAUAAUUCUCUCCAGUGCACAUAACUCCCUACUACACGUCAAUAGUUUCCGAUGGACCGCACAGCAAAUGGAUUGGCUAAAAAGAAUCUAAGGUCAAAUUGACUGUCUAUAGCAAAGCUUUAAUGAAAAUAGCUUCACUUAAGUGAUAAGUAAUAGCUGCUGAAGACUUGGAAUCAAAUUACUGAAACAACAGACCUUCUUGGACAGAUAUUGGGAAGGGCUGUUAAACGCCUCAACACAAACGAGGCUUAGACCUACUAGCUGUACAGUUGUAGUGACCAGGAAUCAAUUCAAUCAGCUAAUGUCAAAACAUGCUUCCUUUAUAAUAGUGAUUUUUAAAACAUAAUAGGUCAGAAGUAUAUUAAUCCACUUAAGGUUACUUAAAUCUGUAAAUACUUCUGUAUGGAAGUUUUAUAUCCAAAUGCAGCUUGACACAGUAAAACUUAAAAAAUUCACGCCCCAUAUAAUAACAUUCAGGUUUAAUAUAAGCAGUGUUAUUUAAACAGCUUGUGUAGCUCAUCCUCCUGUACAGCAAGUAAUAAAAUACGUCUGAGGUUAACUUCUGGUAAAUGUUUGCAAUACUUUUGUAAGAAUUCCAAUAUUCUCAUGGUGGAGCAUUCAGGGUGCUAAGUAGGAUGAGAUUUUACAGUCUUUAAAUGAAGCCAAAUAAACAUCCGUUCUUGCUUCCUAUCACAUUAAAAAGUUAUUAAAUA